rnacentral:rRNA from 1 species
ACGCUCGACACCUACUGGAGGCAGCAGUGGGGAAUAUUGCACAAUGGAGGAAACUCUGAUGCAGCGAUGCCGCGUGAGGGAAGAAGGUUUUCGGAUUGUAAACCUCUGUCUUUGGGGACGAUAAUGACGGUACCCAAGGAGGAAGCUCCGGCUAACUACGUGCCAGNCGCGGAGUAUGNGCGGCGNGNGAGAG